rnacentral:rRNA from 1 species
AGGUAGGUCAACGUCCAGUCCGACGGGUGGACCGGGGGAGGAAGGCUUCGGCCGGAAAACCUGUGCAUGAGUGGCGGACGCCCACUAACGCGUGGUACACCUGGCCUGUACAGGGGGAUAACACUUGAUAAAUAAGUGCUACUACCUCAUACCGGGGGAAUCCGCAUGGCUUUUCCCUGACGAAUCCGGUGGUACAGGAUGGGCCCGCGUCUGAUUAACCAGUUGGCAGGGAAACGGCCUACCAAAGCGACGAUCAGUACCCGGCCUGACAGGGCGGACGGCCACACUGGGACUGACACACGGCCCACACUCCUGCGGGAGGCAGCAGUAUGGAAUUUUCGUCGAUGGGCGCAAGCCUGAACGAGCGAUGCCGCGUGAGUGAAGAAGGCCUUCGGGUCGUAAAGCUCUGUUGCGGGGGAAAAAAGGCAACAUCAGGAAAUGGGUGCUGACUGAUGGUGCCCCGCCAGAAAGUCACGGCUAACUACGUGCCAGCAGCCGCGGUAAUACGUACGUGGAGAGCGUUAUCCGGAAUGAUUGGGCGUAAAGGGUGCGCAGGCGGUCCUGCAAGUCUGGAGUGAAACGCAUGAUCUCAACUCAUGCGUGGCUUUGGAAACUGGAGGACUGGAGAACAGGAAAGGCCGCUGGAACUCCAUGUGUAGCGCUUAAAUGCGUAAAUAUAUGAAACAACACCAAUUGGCGA